rnacentral:rRNA from 1 species
ACUCCUACGGGAGGCAGCAGUAGGGAAUAUUGCACAAUGGGCGAAAGCCUGAUGCAGCAACGCCGCGUGCGCGAUGAAGGCCUUCGGGUCGUAAAGCGCUUUUCUGCGAGAUGAGAAAGGACAGUAUCGCAGGAAUAAGUCUCGGCUAACUACGUGCCAGCAGCCGCGGUAAU